rnacentral:tRNA from 1 species
GGUAGAGUAUGUUUAAAUAAAAUAUUUAGAUUGCAAAUCUAAUAAUGGAGCAUCCCCUCUACCU